UGAGGGAGUGUGGUUUCCUGAUUGUCCUGGCUAAAGCCUGGGAACCUCGCGAUGGGAUCUAGACUGACCAUGACCAUGAGCCACGCUGGAAGAUCCAGGUGAGUCACCGCGCAGUUGAUUGUUCCCAGGCACACCACACACACAGUUUUCAGAAAAACCACUGAGAUUUCUAUUCAACUCACGCAAAAGUGACCCAGAAAGUCAGCGGUGACAGGAAAGACUGGUUUAUUCUAAACCACGUGAGUGCCCAGGGCUGAGAACAACUUGGUGUCUGCCCAGGGCCAGACAACUUGGUGUAUCUCCCAGGUGGGAUCUCUCCCAUGAGUUUCAAAAUGUGAGCCCUAGUUUUAUGGUCGGGGGACACUUGGUGAUAUAUUCUGGGAAAUAUAUUGGUCGCCGGGAUGCCAAGUCAGACAGACAAGUUACAGUAAAUAUUAAAGGACUUAAGCAAGCCCAAGAUCAUUUUGACUCUCUGUCUCCACAAUCACCACCAGGUUCCAGGAAGGUUGCAGCUCGGUCACCUAGGGCAGGUCACCUAGGGCAGUUAGCUGAGGUGAUAAGUUCACACAAACCUGUCUGUUCUUCUCCUUUUGGGCUCCCACUUUCCUCAUCCUCACUCAGCCUGUUGCCCUCCCCUUCUU
rnacentral:lncRNA from 1 species